AAAAAAUUUUUAAGUAAAAAUAUAUGGGGGUUAAAGUAUUUUUAUAGAAAAAAUUAAUUAAUUUAUAGUAAAUUAGUAUUGUGAAAGAAUUUUGAAAUAAGUGAAAAAUAAAUUGGAUGUAAGUAAUUUUAAUUUAAUGUAUCUUGGGUAUCAGAGUUUAUUAAAAAAAAUUUUUAAUAAAAAAAAUCUCGAAUUUAAAAGAGAUAACUAAUUAAUAAAGUUAUUGUAGCAUAAAUAUUUUUCAUAAUUAGUUUGAAAUGAAAUGUUAAUCGUUUUUAAAUAUAUCUAGUUUUUUUAGAAAAAAAUUUAAUUUUUUAUUAUUUAUUAAAAUGAAUUAAUUAGUGAAUUUAUUUUAUAAAUAAUUUUAUAUUUUAAGGGAUAAGCUUUAAUUUAUAUUUAUAUAAAUAUUUAAUAAAAAUUAAAUUGAAAUUUUUAUAAUUUAUAUUGUUAAAAAAUUUUAUUUUAUUAUAAAUAAUUUCAUUAAAAAUAAAAUUUAAAAAAAUUUUAUAUUUUUAUAAAAAAAAAUUUUUUAAUUUUAAAAAAUUUGAUAUAAUGAUAAAAUUAGUAUAUAAAUAUUAAAAAUUAUUAUUUUAAAUUAAAUUAAUUAAAAGGAAUUCGGCAAAUAUUUAUAUUCACUUGUUUAUCAAAAACAUGUCUUUUUGUAAAUAAUUUAAAGUCUAAUCUGCCCACUGAUAAAAAUUAAAGGGCUGCAGUAAUUUGACUGUACAAAGGUAGCAUAAUCAUUAGUCAUUUAAUUGAUGACUUGUAUGAAAGAUUGGAUGAAAUAUAAACUGUCUCUUGAUUAUAUAUAGAAUUUAAUUUUUUAAUUAAAAAGUUAAAAUAAAUUAAAAAGACGAGAAGACCCUAUAGAGUUUUAUAAUUUUAUUAAUUAGGAUUAUUUAUAUAAAUAAAAUUAAGAUUUAUGAAAUUAUUUUGUUGGGGUGACAAAAAAAUAAGUAAAACUUUUUUUAAAAUAAUACAUAUAUAAGUGAAUUUUUGAUCCAGUAAUAUUGAUUAUAAGAAAAAAUUACCUUAGGGAUAACAGCGUAAUUUUUUUUUUUAGUUCAUAUAAAAAGAAGAGUUUGCGACCUCGAUGUUGGAUUAAGAUAAAAUUUAAAUGCAGAAGUUUAAAAUUUUUGAUCUGUUCGAUCAUUAAAAUCUUACAUGAUCUGAGUUCAAACCGGUGUAAGCCAGGUUGGUUUCUAUCUUUUAAAAAAUAAAAUAUUUUAGUACGAAAGGAUUAAAUAUUUGAAUUAAAUUUAUUAUUAAAGAAUUUUAUUAAAAAAUA
rnacentral:rRNA from 1 species